CCUANGGGUGGCAGCAGUAAGGAAUAUUGGUCAAUGGACGCAAGUCUGAACCAGCCAUGCCGCGUGAUGGAUGACGGCCCUAUGGGUUGUAAACUUCUUUUGUACGGGAAAAAACCCCCGAUCGUGAUCGGGGCUGAUGGUACCGUAAGAAUAAGCAUCGGCUAACUCCGUGCCAGCAGCCGCGGUAAUACGGAGGAUGCAAGCGUUAUCCGGAUUCAUUGGGUUUAAAGGGUGCGUAGGCGGAUUGAUAAGUCAGUGGUGAAAUCCUACAGCUUAACUGUAGAACUGCCAUUGAUACUGUUAGUCUUGAGUACAUUUGAAGUGGGCGGAAUGUGUCAUGUAGCGGUGAAAUGCUUAGAUAUGACACAGAACACCGAUAGCGAAGGCAGCUCACUAAACUGUAACUGACGCUGAGGCACGAAAGCGUGGGGAUCAAACAGGAUUUAGAUACCCCANUANUC
rnacentral:rRNA from 1 species